AAUUGCAUACAGGGCUUGUGGGGUGUUGAGUAUCAGGCAUAAGCUGAUCUGUGGGACUCCUCCAAUGGCAGCUGCAGAAAAUCAGCGCUGAAAUGUGUAACCAGAGUUGAAUACAGAAACAAUGUACUCCAUUUGUAGGUAGGUCUAUAAAAUGUGACACAACGGUGAAAGAUAGCUGUUGUAAGUCCAGUGUGGCAUUUUUUUUUAGGUAACUAUGAUGUAUGACCAAGAAAUGCAGAAAAUUAUUACAGCUGUGAAGUGGAAUUCACAAAAUGUUUGGCAAAGAUUACAGAAAUGGCUUAUCAAUUAACAAAACAGUUGCUGGCUAAUUGUUCAACCAGCUUUAAAUGACACAUUGGAACUAUACAUUAUAUCCAACAUUAACAGCAUGUCCUCUGCAGAGGUGGUGGCCUAAGAGUGGUCAGAGACAGACUUAAAACAUUAAAAAUCAUGAUAUCCAGAACAACACAGACCACACUGUAGCAGUCGAGAUUUGACAAUAUUUCCUGAUUAUCGGUAUUGUCACUUUACUAACUGAUUACUGAUAAUAUAAAUUAAAAGAGGUACUUUGGCUUUGAUGCAGCCAUCUCUCUGUAAUUACUCAGUGGUCUCAAGCAAUGCUCCGCCCACAGCUCUCUCUGACUGGCUGUUGCAUGUCACCAGUAACAGCUAAUCAACAUAGAAAGUUACUGUUUAUAGACAGAACAAUUGAGUGCAUUUGCAAAUCAGAGUGUAUCUGUGAAUUAGCAGAGCUGUGUUUAGAAGGUGAGGUAAUUCACGUAAUCGUAAAGUACAGCUGGAACUUAUUUUGCUGACGGUGCUAGGCUAAGGCUACCGCUAGGAGUUUUGCUGUGCCUCUUGUCUGUGGCGAGCGCCAUCUGGUGCACCUGUAGCAUCUUUCCAAAGUAAGAUUAACUUUAACACUGUGUUCUAACUGACAGACACAUAUCUCCAGCAACGACUUAACCAGCAAAAACUGAAGAAGAAACACGAGCUGUCGCCAUAAAUAAGGAAGUUAGGUACGUUAGUAGUGGCUAAGGCUAUGCUAACGACUAACAGCUAAGUUAGGAGGCUGCCAUGGAUUACCCCAAAAAACUGUCUGGAGAACAAUAAUUAAUAAUGCUUUAAGAUCUGGACCUAAGUGGCCAAUAAAAGUAAUAGAACAGAGAAUCAGAAAAUACAGAAAAACAGCAGAUGUAACUGCAGGAGACAAACUUAUCAAACUCAAAGAAUCAGUCUCACCAUAAACAGACAAGAACGUCAAAGCAUCACGUGACACUAUGAUGUCACCUCCCCUAUUUCUAUUGUACAUAUUCAGUCACAGUAAUUAUUAUUAAUGAAGUAACCUAGUUAUGAAUAAGUUCCCUGCUAUCAUAUGCUGCUGCAGUAGAACAUUUAAUGUAGUAUAUCGUAUAAUGAUUAUCUGUCUUUCUUGAUGACCAAUUAUCACCAUUGGUCUCAUCCCUGAAAAGCUGUGUUGGUUGAUCUCAAAACUAGAUUUUAUGAGUAUACAUGGCUUCUUUUUAGUCCAUAGCAUGGAGUAUUAACAAUUACUGAAGGCAGUAACAGUUGCUGGUUUACGUAGCUGCUUAUGUUUGACAGAAUAAUGUGGUCUGUGUGAAAUAAAGUGUUGUUGUACUGAAAGUUGUACAGUGAAUCAGCACUGGUGUUGAAAAUUUUCAACAGACACCAAACCGUAAAUAGAAACUUGCAUCAGCAUGUUGCCUCGGUUCUCAUUCUCCACCUGAAGGUGUUUGUACAGCUCCAGUACUCCGAGCCAGAGACCUGCAGGUUGGUUUGGGUCCUGCCAUCCUCCGAGUUGUUUUACAUUUUUACAACAACACCUGGAGACAAAUAAACCGCCUCUCAUUAAAAGUAUUGUCACUUUAGUCACUGAAACCAUCUGCUACAAAACAAAAAAUGUGUUAGUAUCUCGGCCUCCUGCUGCAUUUCUACAUUAAGCCAAGUCCUGCAACAGAAACACAAACAGUGGCAGCAGCUAAAGUAUCUCACUGUAGAGUAAUUAAACAAUGUGAUACAUUUGGUAAUUUACAUGGACGAAGCAGGGAAUGCUGACCUAUUGUAAUCGCGAAAAAAGUAUUUGUGAGCUGCACCAUACCUUUUGGGAGAGCUCACUUUUAUCACUUAUUUGAUAAACACAUGAAAGUUGCUACUGCUGCCUGGUCUUAGCAUCAUCGAGGGUUAACUUUGUUCUUCUGUUUUAAUGCGGUUUGCAUCAAGAAUGUUGUUUUUGUUUGUUUGUUCUAACUUUGAGUUAAAGUGAGUGAAGUUUAUGAUAUUGAACUGUUAGGCUCUGGUGGUUGUGGCAAGCACAGCAUGCAUGCAAAUAUCUUUAUAAAAGUCAGUUGGGGAUGAAUCAUUCACCAAUAAUACACCUGUAAUGGGGUAAUUUUACACAAACAGAAAAGCAGAAAUAUUCAGAAUUUCACAAGUCAUGGUUUUCGGAAAGAUAAUUAUCUAUGCACCGCUUAAUCCUCAUUAGGGUCGCGGGGGGGCUGGAGUCUAUCCCAGCUCACUGAGGGUGAAGGUAGGAGACACCUAGACAGGUAACAGUCUAUCACAGGCCAGGACGUGAACCAGGGAACCUCUAACUGCAAUUAAACAGUGCUCACCACCGAGCCACUGUGCAGCCUAGGAAAAAUCAUGUCUCAUUAAAAAUAGCUGACCUUCUGCAGGUUUUCCUGUAGUUCACAUUAUGAGAACAGUGUGGGUCAACAGUCACAGUUCGUUUAAUAUUAACAUUUGCAAGAAGGUCGGAUUACCCAUUUCAAAUCUGGUGUCUUGAUUAUAUGUUGUCUAAUUUUUAAUAUAGAUAUGUGUGUUAUCUGAGGGAGUCUGUCAUGGUAGUGGAACCAGAGGCUUUACAAUAAUGUGAAUUUCUUUAGACAUGCAGGAUGAAAUGGUUCUAUGUAAAGGCUCAUGAUACCUUCAGUUUAAACACUUUACUUAAGUAGUCCUUAAACUUUUAAAACUUUAUAAUUACCGUCACUUUGGGUUUACACAAGAAAUGUUAGCAUAAAAUAUAUCAUAUGCAUCUUUUAACUGCAAAAACAGAAGUUUUGAACACUGGCAUAAACAUAUUAAAUGUCCAUAGCCUUGUUUAACAAAGAUCCGUACAUUUGUCAAACGCUCAUAUUGCUUGAAAGCCUAAUUAAUAUCAUGGUUCAUUAACUGUCAUCUCACAAGGUGAGCACUUGGUCCUUCUGAGAUUUUAUUGAAUUAUGAAACUUUAACUGAAUUGAAGUUAUUGCUGGGACUGUUUUAAUAAACUGCCUUGUGGGGAGCUGUGGUACUUUUAAAGCUGUGACAUUUAUAGAUGACAACACUGUAUUUUUCUGUGGAGGAUUAAUCCACAUCUGGUGCUCGAGUGAGUAUUUAUGGAGGCAGGAUGGUGUGUGUCAGAACAAAUUUCAGUGUGUGUGUGUGGUGAUGAAGGAACAUGUCAGUCACUGGAACACUGAUGUGUUUUUAAUAGUUUUUGACAAAAAUUGAGUUUGCUGCCACAGAGGAAUAAUCAGGCUUUGAAACACACACAAUGCUUGUUAGUUGGAUAAAUAUGGCUUGCAUGUUCUUAUGGGAUGCGUUGACAGUCAGAAAACUAUAGAAAAUAUCCAGAGUUAUCCAUUGAAGGACUUUCUGAGCUAUUUUGACGUUUUCUGUGAAAAUAUGUAGAAGACCCUCUUAAUGUUGCAUUUAAAUGACCCAAACACACGUGGACAUCUGAGAGACACUGCUGUCCUGCAUCCCUAAGAUCCCCCAUAGCAUUCAGAUUUUGUUACUGUCUAUGGCACUUCUGCUAGAAGGUCAACGGGCCCCAGAGCAAUAUAUCAGGCUGUCCCUUUACAAAGGCCAGAUAUGUAUCUCACAUGCUAGGUAAGAAAACUAAAAUGUUUCAGUAUAUAGUACAUGUACAGUACCACCAUGUCCUGCAUCAGUGUUAUGUCCUUGUUGGGGACACAUUACGGGCACAUUAAAAUAAAGGUAUGUGGUCAAAAGCAUCCUAAACCGACUUGACAAGCGGUUUGAGUGAGUACAUUGCGAUGUGUCUUGAUGGUCAUUCACACUUGCGUUGUUCACUUGGGAACCGAAUGCUUAAACUGCAUUUUAAACACAGUGUAAACAGGGCCUAAAUAUGCUCUAAACCAGAGAUUUGAGGGGGGGCGUGAAGCUUUGUCUGUUCUGAGGCUGUGAUGUUAUAAAAAAUAGAUUUUUACAUUCUGGAUAAAAUCAGAGUAACAGACUCACUGUGUCAUCACAAGUCUACCUAUAAAACAUUUUUAAAACACAUUUAUUUGGUCUUUCUUCAAAAAUCCUUUGCUUCUUCGAUGGCCACACCUCCUUGAUCUUUCAACUUCUCACCACGCUUUCUUCAGGUUGGCACGUAGUUCAUCCCGAUUCAUUAGUUUGUGUGCAGUUAGAAAAUUACUGACAGAAACGGUGUCUGAAAAACGCAAAACGGGUGAAGAUUCAUCAGUACCUAAAAACUCCGGCUAUACCUCGAGAGUUACCUUAAAUUUGGUUUUAUUAAAGGACAAGACAGAAUUAUGUUAUUUGUAGUGAAAUGCUCGGAAAUGACAGCAUGAAGCCAGCGAAUUAUGGCGACGUCAGGAAACAAAACACAGUUCAGUAAAGUCGGAAAGAUACUCACAGAUUCGGACUUCCGGCAUCAAUAACUCAUUAAAUAUACAUUUUCAAAACAUAAACAAUGCCUCUUUGUUUAUGGGGAUGGGGUGCAGCUUACAGAGGGGCUCCAAGCCAAACAGGUUGGGAACCACUGCUCUAAACUAUGAUCACUAAAUGGAAAUAUAUUCAGUGGUGGUUUUGGUAAGGAACAUAGAAUAGCAACAGAUUUAUCUCUUAACAAACACUGUUUUUUUGACCUCACUGCAGAUGUCUUUUCCUCUUUUUCCUGUUUUUAUAGCUGUUUAUUAGUGACAUUAAUUGGCCAAAGGACACGGCAGCUUUCUAACAGAUGAAGCUAAAUGAACCUGUUGACAGCUCAGUCUGACUAAUGCCAGGAUCUAAGUUAGUUUCUCUUAUAUCUGUCCACUUCCUUUAACUCUUGAUCCUCUUGUCGCUGUACAUGCAUGGAUGGACUAGAGCUGAAGCAAGUGUGUAGAAAGAGUUAUUUGAUAAUUAAGUGUUCAGGUCCUGUUUCAGCUACAUUUGCAGUGUAGCUGUACACAUAAGAAUGUUCAAUAUUGGAGAGGCAAGUGGAAGGAAUUCCAUGAAAUUUUGGCAAAACACCAAGGCCUCUAGAAGAUGAAUCCUGCUGACUUCAAUGUUUUCCUGACUGUUCCAGUAGCUAAAUUCCAUCCAUUAUCUAUACACCGCUUAAUCCUCACUAGGGUCGCGGGGGGAGCUGGAGCCUAUCCCAGCUGACUCGGGCGAAGGCAGGGGACACCCUAGACAGGUCGCCAGUCUGUCGCAGGGCUACAUAUAUAGACAAACAAGCACUCACACAUUCACACCUACGGGCAAUUUAGAGUAAUCAAUUAACCUCAGCAUAUUUUUGGACUGUGGGAGGAAGCCGGAGUACCCGGAGGAAACCCACGCAUGCACAGGGAGAACAUGCAAACUCCAUGCAGAAAGAUCCCGGGAAAGCCGGGACGUGAACCAGGGAUCUUCUCGCUGCAAGGCGAAAGUGCUAACCUAAAACAUUUGAAAAAACAAACAUUAAAAAGACAAAACAUUUUGAAAUCAAAUCAGAUAUUAGAAAAGAAUAAAAGUUGAGAAGAGUAAAACUAAACAUUUAAGAAGAAUCAAACUAAAGACAAAACAUUUGAAAAGACCAGUUAGACUUUAGAAGAUCAAAUUAAACAGAAGAGACAAUAAAAUGAUCAAAAAGAGCAAAAACAGAUAAAGGUCUUUCUUUUGCGUUUUCUAGUCUGAAAUGAAAACAUCAGCUUGUUUCUUCAAACAUUUCCUCUUUCUAUGUUCUUGGUUUGAUUGUGGACAGAUUUACUAAGUGCUCCUUUAAGAAAACUGCUUUCCAGAUAAAGUCUACUAGUAGUUGAAGGCAUGGAUCAAACUAAUGUUACCUUCUGAUCUCCACAAACUUUACUGUUCAGUGAAGAGAAUCAAAGUUUGUUGAGGAUUUCUAAAAAACCCACAGGUGAAGGUCUGAGAAGAACUCAGAUGGAUGAUCUAAAUGUGAAAUCAAGACUCAUGGUCACAAGUUUUAAGGCUUCUGUUAACCAUAAAGUUCAAACUAACAGAAGUACUGAGAACCCUUUAAGAUUUCAGCCCUCAGACUCUCUGAAGGUUCAAACAGAGAACUACUCAAGAACUUUUAGGAUUUCAGUUCUCGAACUGUCUAAAAGCUCAAACUAACAGAGAAGUACUGAGAAACUUUUAAAAUUUUAGUCCUCAGACUGUCUGAAGGUUCAAACUAACAGAGAACUACUCAAGAACUUUUAAGUUUUCAGUCCUCAGACUGUCUGAAGGUUCAAACUAACAGAGAAGUACUCAGGAACUUAGAAGAUAUCAGUCCUUGGACUGUCUGAAAGUUAAAUCUAACAGAGAACUACUGUGAGACUUAGAAAAUUUCAGCCCUCAGACUGUGUGAAAGCUCAGGUCCUUAGGACUCGGGAGGUGUGGAGGCUUUGGAAAGUCUUGGAACUGAGGGUUCAACCCUCCAGCACAAAGGCUGAAGUCCAGCCUCCUGAGAAAAACGGUCGAGUCGAGACUCAAGUUAAAAAAAAAACACUCGAUGACAAAAAAUAGAUGAUAAAUGCGCAAUAAAAAGAAGCUUUAGUAUCUGAGCGAAUAGCUCAGGGGUAAGACGAAAGACUACCAACUGGAAGGUAGCCGGUUCAAGACCCACCACCGGCAGUUUUCUUUCUUUGUCUUUGUCAGGAUUUUGAGAAAAAUUUAAGACGGAUCUGGUCUUGAACCAGCACCCUGCAGCUCCACAGACAAACUCUUAACUCACUGAGCUACAGAUCAGACAAAAAGACAUAAAUUCGUCGUCCCUUUGGCAUCGUAGUUUCUCAAGUGACCACAUGGGUGGAGCCAAGGUGGAGUCUGGGUGGAGUCAGGGCGGAGAGUAGGCGGGGAGGUGGGUGGCAGCCUCCCCCCUCUACUCCCCCGCCUCCCCCCACCACCCACCACACCUUCCCCCGCCCCACGAGUUCUUCGAGUCUCCACGAGUUCUUCGAGUCUCCACGGGUUUUCCCGAGUUUCUGGAGUUUCCACCAGGUCCGAGGCAGAACAAGUUGUCAUGAAGAGGUGUUGAAGUCAGCCAGGAUGGACUGACUUUUUACAGCGACUAGAAGGAAGACGACUAGAAGAGCAGAUCUUUAACCACCAUCCAUAAAAUCCAUGGAGUCGGCUCCAGAGAAAUGAAGGGAGGUCAACUUUUAUCAACCUCCAUCCAGAUGUUCAACUUCAUAUCUUUAGUUUGACAUUUUUAGCACCACACAAACCUUUAGUAUCACACUUUAUUAUCAUUUAUUAGGACUUUCAUGGAAUCCACCAGCAGAUAUACUUUUUGUUGACAAACUUUAUUCUUGUCGUCGUGGGACUGCAGUAUUUAAAACUCUUCCCUUCUAUUUGACCUCAUGUUUACUAGUUUUAGUGGAGAAAGUUAUUUUAAUUGUCCAUUAGUCUCUUAAAAACCAAACAGUAAAUUGGAUUAGUCAAGAGGUUUAAAUUUCUUACUUUGUCAUAUUUUAAAUAUGAGAGUUAGCUUUAGCUGAGCCAAAUAACAUGUGGGACGCUAACCUAGCAAACAUUUCAGACUUUUCUCUGUGAAUUCUGAGAAAUAAUUUCCUAUUUAAUGACAGAGCUACACAUCUUAACUCAGUUUCAUUAAAACAGACUCUAAUUCAGAGUCAUCCAUCCAUAUUAAAGCGCAGUUACCCAAAAUGUUUGUUGCAUGAGCUCCAACAAAACCUGUCCAGGUAGAAGGCCACUUUGACAAACAGGAAGUGGAAGAAUCCAAGCAGAUUUAUAGAAGGGGGAACCGGACUGCACUAAGUGUGGUCGAGUGUAGAGGGGUGUUUUGUGGGUUUUUAAGGGUGAUAAUGAUUAUUAGUGAGACAUUUGAAGUAGAUAUUCAUUUGCAGUAAAUGAAAGUAUUUAAAAUCUUGGAGUUAAACUUAGAAGAACACAAACUAACAGAAAACUUUGUUGAUACGUUUUUGUUUUGUUUACAGGUGUUAAGUUAACCCUUUAACAUCCUCACCAAGAAAAAGGCAAUGAAAAAAUUAUUUCUUUAUAUUUCUUAUGUCUUUUGGGCACUAAUAACAACAAUCAAUGGUUUUUUUAUGAAGAGACCCAGCAAUUUUUAAAAUACUGACCUCUACCAAAUGGUUGAGAAAAAUUAUUUCACCCUUUUAAAUCUUUUUUUUUUUUACAUUUCAAAUGAUACAUUUGUGUUCAGCAACUCCUGAGGCACCAUAAUAUGCCAAAAGUAUUACUUUACCUUUGAAAAUCACAGCAAACAGAGGCCUCAUGUGAGGAGUGAUUUUGCUCAUGCUAACUUCCUGUGAGCAGACUAACUUGCUCUGCAUGCUAUUUCAAAACAGUGACAUCUAUUGGACUUUUUUUUGUAUAAUGUACCUUAGAGUGGUACCUAAUGAGGGGUAGAGAUGGCUGAAACAGGUGGAUUGAAGUAAAACAUAUUUGUCAAUAAGAUUUAGUGUUGAAAAAUGACAUUUUUCGACAGUAUACUAUGGCUUUGUUUUUAAUACCAAAAUUCAUGAUGAUCUUUUUUUCAAAGAAAACCUUUCUGGAGUGUUUUUCAUGGCCUCCUUUACAUUAUUUCUUCAUAUGGCAUGUUUUCACAACAUGUUGAAAAAUGACAUUUUUCGACAUAGUAUACUAUGGCGUUUUUUUGGCGCCAAAAUUCAUGAUGAUUUUUUUUCAAAGAAAACCUUUCUGGAGUGUUUUUCACAGCCUGCUUCACAUUAUUUCAUCAUAUGGCACGUUUUCACAACAUGUUGAAAAAUGACAUUUUUCGACAUAGUAUACUAUGGUGUUUUUUUGUGCCAAAAUUCAUGAUGAUUUUUUUUUCAAAGAAAACCUUUCUGGAGCGUUUUUCACGGCCUCCUUUACAUUAUUUCAUCAUAUGGCACGCUUUUACAACAUGUUGAAAAAUUGCAUUUUUUUUUCGACAUAGUAUACUAUGGCAUUUUUUUUUUGCGCCAAAAUUCAUGAUGAUUUUUUUUCAAAGAAAACCUUUCUGGAGUGUUUUUCACAGCCUGCUUUACAUUAUUUCAUCAUAUGGCAUGUUUUCACAACAUGUUGAAAAAUGACAUUUUUCGACAUAGUAUACUACGGCGUUUUUUUGCGCCAAAAUUCAUGGAUUUUUUUUUCAAAGAGAACCUUACCAUAGUGUUUUUCAUGGCCUCCUUUACAUUAUUUCUUCAUAUGGCACGUUUUUACAACAUGUUGAACAACUGCAUUUUUUUUCGACAUAGUAUACUAUGGCGUUUUUUGGACGACAUGCUAUACUAUGACGUUUUUUGGACCAAAGGCUAUACUAUGACGUUUUAAGAGCGACAUGUUAUACUAUGACGUUUUUUGAGCGACAUGCUAUACUAUGACGUUUUUUUAGCAACAUGCUAUACUAUGAUGUUUUUUGGACGACAUCCUAUAGUAUGACGUUUUUUGAGCAACAUGGUAUACUGUGACAUUUUUUGAGCGACAUGCUAUACUAUGACGUUUUUUGAGAACGCCACCGAGCCUCGGCCCAGUCGGCCGCCUGUCUGUGGGUGUUUGAGUGCGUGAGAGGUUUGUGGAUGCAUGUGAACGUGUCUGUAUUGAAACAGCAGCUUUUGAGUCAGUAACGCCACUAAAAGUGAAGAGCUCCUUUAUUUGUGACUUCCACGAAAAAAACUGAUGAAAAUACGUUUGCCACGGUUCUGACUGAUAACAGAUUAUUAAAUAAUGAAAAUAAUCUUUUAAAUAUUCCUUUAAACAAUCCUUUUAGGUCUACAUUUCCUUUACACUGACUUCUUGGUAUAUGUACAAGUAUUUUGGGUGGAAUAUACCAUUAAGCCCAAUGUUCAAGGGUUCUUCUGGGAAUAUACCAUUAAACCAACCUUUUAGGUAAAUGUUCCAAGAUUCUGGGUAGAAUAUACCAUCAGAUCAACCUUUUAGGUCUACAUUGGAAGAUUUUAGAGUAGAAUAUUACUCCAAACCAUCCUUUAGGUCUACAUUUAAGGUGGAAUACUCCUUUACACCAAGAUUUUUUUGGUCUACAUUGAAGGAUUUUAGGUGGAAUAUUCCUUUGAACGAACUUUUUAAGUUUAUGUUCAAGGAUGUUGGGUGGAAUAUACCAUCAGACCAACCUCCAAGGUCUACAGUAGUGAAUUUUAGGUGGAAUAUACCAUUAAACUCACCUUUUAGGUCUACAUUGGAGGAUUUUAGGUGGAAUUUUCUUUCAGUCUGUCUUUUAGUCUACAUGUAAGGAUGUUUAGGAUGGUAUAUUCUUCCAAACCAACUUCUCAGGUCUACAUUUCAGGUGGAAUAUUCCUCCAUACUAACUUUUUUGGUCGACAUUGAAGGAUUUUUUCUAAACCACCCUUUCGGGUCUAUAUUUGAGGUUUUAGGUGGAAUAUUCCUUUUAACCAGCCCAUCAGGUCUCUUUGAGGAUUUUGGAUGGAAUACUCGGUUAAACCGACAUUUUAGGUGCAUGUCCAAGGAUUUUUGGUGGAAUGUUCCUUUGAGGUGGAUGUGUGAGGACCUUGUAGGUGGAAUACUUCCUGAAACCAACCUUUUAGGUCAACAUUCAAAGAUUUAAGGUGAAAAAUUCCUUUAAACCAACCUAAAUUUCAUGUUUUGAUCAUUAUCAAGUGAGAACCCUCAAUCCAGACUCCUCAUAAUGAUGUUUGAGAUUUAUGCUGCUGUUAUUUGUUUAGUCCAGACUAAAUGACAGAAAUCCACAACUGUAAUUUUAUUUCAGGACUCGGUUAUUAAAUGUCAGAACAAUCCAUGUGACUCUAAAAACUCAACAGCUGUACAAACUCUAAGAUUAAACUCUCCACAAGGAUCCAAAAUAAGCUGGACUUCUACAUGAGAGCUUCAAUUAUUCUUCAUCUCCUUCCUGAAAAGUUUGGUCAAUAGAAAAGACUAAUAUUUUCAGCUGAACUAAAGACAGACUUUGUGAUUUUUCUGCUCACAUGUUGUGUUGUUGUAAACUUACUCUUUCAAAUAAAUAUCCUCCUAACCCCCUGGAAACCAGCGUUUGUCCUGUUUUUGUGUUGCUCCUCAGCGACCCUAGACAGCCGGGUCCUAAUGUUUUUUGAGCAACACACUAUACUAUGAUGUUUUUACAGUGAUGGUUCUACUAUGGAACCAGUUUGACAUGUUCAGGCGUUCUUUGUGUGAAAACUCAGAGAUUUCAGGUAUCAGAAGGUGGUUUUCAACUUUCUUUGUUAACUUUCUGCUUCAACUUUAAACUAAAUUUCCUUCACUAAGCCAGCCCUCUGGACUUCCAGUAAGCUGUGUUCCUAUUGGCUGUCCAGGUGGCUGCUUGGUGUUAUCAGGAACACCUGAGCAGCUCAGUGUCUUCCUGCUUUAUUUAGCUGCAGACAAACAUUUCCUCUGCUUCUGUUCACCACUGAACCGGGUUUGGCUCCAUUGCCUUAGUUUGUUCUUUAGCCGUUGGCUUACAGCAGUAAAAUAGGCUUUAAUGUGUUUCUUGGUGUGUUUUAGGGCUUUGUACUGGAUAGUUGUCUUGGUAAAUGUGCUUCUUUAGUCACAGUUAGCACAUGGUGCUAAUGUGUGCGUGAUUAGUGGAUUUGAUGCAGCUGAGUUGUGUCUUCAUCUUGGCUGUAGUGAGUCUCUAGAGGUUUUUGAUCAGACACAUUCUGUAUUCUUGGUUGUCCAGAAGGUAAGAGUUCCUGUCCUGAUUCUCUGUUCUCAGAGGUUCUCUGGUAGGCUGCAGGAGACUUUAGCGUUUGGGUUGUGCUAGUUUGGUUUUUGUAUGGUUUCAUUUGGACGACUAUCUUGAGGCUCCUCCAUGUGGUUUAGUGAGGUUUUCUGUAACAGUUCUACAAAGCAACCUGCAGCAGAAGAGACUUUCAGAGUUUUUAGGAAGUUCUGCAGAGCAGACUUUAGAGCAGCAGAAACAUUUGUCAGCAGUUUGAGCAGUAGAAAUGAGAUGGAAACCUUCUUGACCCGUGUGGUGAGGUCCUGUACCAAGAGUUUGAGCAGGUUGUGAAGAGUCUGUAGUUCUUUGGUCUGAAAGCACAAGAAGAGUCGACUCAUUAAAGGAGAAAACAGGAGAUAUUGUUGGUUCUUCUGUCGCUCUGCAGUUUCCUUAGACUGAAUAUCAAGUUUAUAUUUUAAAUGAUUUACCAUGUGAGCCCAAGAAGACUUCAGUAAACUCCCUCCAUCCCCUGGACACAACAUAUUUUAUUACCAUGUUAAAUCUUUUUUUUUGUUUUUUAAUGUUUUUGAGUUUGAAUCCUAGUUUUAGCAUAGUUUCUUCUCUUUGCUUGUUUAGUUUUUUCAUCUGUGUAAAAGGUGCUGAACAAAUAAAGUUGAAUCGAUAAACUGA